UAUAUAUAGAACUAGGCUGGAAUAUUCUUAAUAGCACCAAUGACUUGGUGCUAUUAAGUUUUCUGUCCUUGGAUUAAAAGAUAUGCGGUUAGGAUAAUGUGGGCCUCCUAGGGUUGAGUAGGUGGUUGGUUGAAUAGUAUAAUCGAACGGAUAAAAAUUAUAAAAGAGAUAAAUUUAACGGCAGAAAACUUGAUAGCACCAAAUGUUUCAUGCUAUCGAUAGUAUACCAGCCGAACUAUAUAUAUAUAUAGAGAGAGAGAGAGAGAGAGAGAGUCCGACUACUAUAUUUUUAUGAGUAUUAGCUCCCUUAUACUCAUAAGUUUUUGGCUCUUAGAUUUAUUUCAUUGAUCAUUUCCACUCGUUAGAUCAUACUAUUAAACCAACUACCCACUCAACCCUAGGAGACCACUAUCAUUUUAAGUGGGGACCACCACCAUCUUAACCACACAUCUUAUCAAUCAACGGUUAAAAAUUUAUGAGUACAAGGAGGUCUAUAUUCAUAAAAGUAUAGUAGCCCCAGCAUAUAUAUAUAUAUAUAUAUAUAGAGUCCAGCUAUGGUGCUUGUAAAAGCAUAAAGCACUUGGUGCUUGUAAGUUUUUACCAUUAGAUCUACUCAUUGGAUCAUUUUCAACCAUUAGAUUAUACUAUUCAACCAACCAUCCACUCAACCCUAGAGGGCCCACAUC
rnacentral:lncRNA from 1 species